AUUGAACGCUGGCGAUAUGCUUAAGACAUGCAAGUCGAACGGUAACAGACCUUCGGGUGCUGACGAGUGGCGGACGGGUGAGUAACACGUGGGAAUCUACCUUGUAGUGGGGGAUAAGCCAGGGAAACUUGGAUUAAUACCGCAUACGCCCCAAGGGGGAAAGGCGCAAGUCGCAAUAAGAUGAGCCCGCGUCUGAUUAGCUAGUUGGUGAGGUAAAGGCUCACCAAGGCGACGAUCAGUAGCUGGUCUGAGAGGAUGGCCAGCCACAUUGGGACUGAGACACGGCCCAGACUCCUACGGGAGGCAGCAGUCGGGAAUAUUGGACAAUGGGGGCAACCCUGAUCCAGCAAUACCGCGUGUGUGAAGAAGGCCUGCGGGUUGUAAAGCACUUUUAGUAGGGAAGAUAAUGGCGUUACCUACAGAAAAAGCACCGGCUAACUCCGUGCCAGCCGCCGCAGUAAUAC
rnacentral:rRNA from 1 species